rnacentral:snRNA from 15 species
GUAUCAGCGCCGGGUUCAGGGUGAUGAAGAAUGCUCUGACACGGAUGGAGGCUCACCAUUGCACCUAGUUGGGUUGAAACUCGCGACGGCCCCUAAUCAGGUCCGCUAGGGCGUGUAGUUUUUGUCAGUGGGAAGGCCUCACGGUCCUCCCUU